rnacentral:rRNA from 1 species
AUGAAAAUUGACAUAUCCAAGGCCUUUGAUACUCUAUCUUGGGAAUUUCUUCUGGAGGUGCUGUCUGCUCGGGGAUUCGGUCGGAGGUGGCAUUCCUGGAUUUGCGGGUUGCUAUCCACUUCCUCCACCUCCGUCCUUAUCAACGGAGAGCUUGGCCCCCCCUUCGCCAUCGGCCAAGGCGUCCGCCAGGGCGACCCUGUUUCCCCGACCUUAUUCAUUCUGGCUAUGGACGCCCUUCACGGCAUGUUGGAAUGGGCAAGGCAGCACCAUCUUUUCUUUGAUCUUGGCUGCGACAGAGGGGUGCCGCGUGCAUCUGUUUUUGCCGAUGACGCGGUUCUGUUCUUCAAGCUAGAGCGUAACGAUCUCCUGCUUAUAUCAACCCUUCUGCAGCUCUUUGGGGAGGCGUCGGGGCUUCGGAUCAAUAUGCACAAGAGCACCAUCACUUGCAUACGAUGUGAUGAGGUGCAGGCUGCAGAGGUAGCUAGACACUUCCAGUGCAGGCAACAGGCCUUUCCUAUCUUAUAUCUCGGUAUACCUCUAUCGAUAUACAGGCUCAAGCGGCACGAGUUGCUGCCCUUGGUUGAUAAGCUCUCGAACAAGAUGAAGGGCUGGAAACCGAAGAUGUUGGUAGUUGCAGGUCGGCUCAUGCUCACCUCUUCGGUCCUCAUGGCACUGCCCAUGCACAUCAUGGCAGCGCUCCCGCUGCCGGCCUGGGCUAUCAAGACUAUCAACCGCCGCUGCCGUGGAUUUAUUUGGAAGGGGGAGGAGGAGACUAGUGGUGGCCGUUGCCUUAUGCCUUGGAGCAGGGUGUGCAUGCUGCGGGAGCUCGGAGGUUUGGGUGUUUUGAAUAUCAAAUAG